CAGUCGCCGCGGUAAUACGAGGGGGGCAAGCGUUGUUCGGAAUUAUUGGGCGUAAAGGGUGCGUAGGCGGUUUGAUAAGUCAUCUGUGAAAUCUCUGGGCUCAACCCAGAGUCUGCAGGCGAAACUGUCGGGCUUGAGUAUGGGAGAGGUGAGUGGAAUUUCCGGUGUAGCGGUGAAAUGCGUAGAUAUCGGAAGGAACACCUGUGGCGAAAGCGGCUCACUGGACCAUAACUGACGCUGAUGCACGAAAGCUAGGGGAGCAAACAGGAUUAGAUACCCCCGUAGUCCCUGUCUCUUAUAC
rnacentral:rRNA from 1 species